UACGAAGGGGGCUAGCGUUGCUCGGAAUCACUGGGCGUAAAGGGUGCGUAGGCGGGUCUUUUAAGUCAGGGGUGAAAUCCUGGAGCUCAACUCCAGAACUGCCUUUGAUACUGAGGAUCUUGAGUUCGGGAGAGGUGAGUGGAACUGCGAGUGUAGAGGUGAAAUUCGUAGAUAUUCGGAAGAACACCAGUGGCGAAGGCGGCUCACUGGUCCGGUACUGGACGCUGAGGUGCGAAAGCGUGGGGAGCAAACAGG
rnacentral:rRNA from 1 species